UACGGAGGGGGCUAGCGUUGUUCGGAAUUACUGGGCGUAAAGCGCACGUAGGCGGCUUUGUAAGUUAGAGGUGAAAGCCCGGGGCUCAACUCCGGAAUUGCCUUUAAGACUGCAUCGCUAGAAUUGUGGAGAGGUAAGUGGAAUCCGAGUGUAGAGGUGAAAAUUCGUAGAUAUUCGGAAGAACACCAGUGGCGAAGGCGGACUUACUGGACACAUAUUGACGCUGAGGUGCGAAAAGCGUGGGGGAGCAAACAGGG
rnacentral:rRNA from 1 species